CCAAUAGCGUAUAUUAAAGUUGUUGCAGUUAAAAAGCUCGUAGUUGAAUUUCAGGCCUGGCUGGACGGUCCGCCCUUCGGGUGAGUACUGUCUGUGGUCGGGUCCUACCUUCUGGCGAAGCGUCAUGGCCUUAACCGGCCGUGGCGGGGAACCAGGACUUUUACUGUGAAAAAAUUAGAGUGUUCAAAGCAGGCAAUCGCUUGGAUACAUUAGCAUGGAAUAAUGGAAUAGGACAAUGGUUCUAUUUGUUGGUUUCUAGGACCGUUGUAAUGAUUAAUAGGGAUAGUUGGGGGCAUUAGUAUUCAAUUGUCAGAGGUGAAAUUCUUGGAUUUAUUGAAGACUAACUACUGCGAAAGCAUUUGCCAAGGAUGUUUUCAUUAAUCAAGAACGAAAGUUAGGGGAUCGAAGACGAUCAGAUACCGUCGUAGUCUUAACCAUAAACUAUGCCGACUAGGAAUCGGGCGAUGUUGAAAAAAUGACGCGCCCGGCACCUCAUG
rnacentral:rRNA from 1 species